UACGUAGGGGGCUAGCGUUGUCCGGAAUCAUUGGGCGUAAAGCGCACGUAGUCGGCUUUGCAAGUCGGGUGUGAAAUCCCCGGGCUCAACCUGGGAACUGCAUCCGAGACUGCAUUGCUAGAGUAUGGGAGAGGGAAGCGGAAUUUCUGGUGUAGCAGUGAAAUGCGUAGAUAUCAGAAGGAACAUCAGUGGCGAAGGCGGCUUCCUGGACCAAUACUGACGAUCAGGUGCGAAAGCGUGGGGAGCAAACAGG
rnacentral:rRNA from 1 species